GUGUCAGCAGCCGCGGUAAUACGAACUGUGCGAACGUUAUUCGGAAUCACUGGGCUUAAAGGGUGCGUAGGCGGUUUGCUAAGUCAGGUGUGAAAGCCCCCGGCUCAACCGGGGAACAGCGCUUGAAACUAGCGGACUGGAGUGAGGUAGGGGUGUACGGAACUUCCAGUGGAGCGGUGAAAUGUGUAGAUAUUGGAAGGAACGCCGGCGGCGAAAGCGGUACACUGGGCCUUGUCUGACGCUGAGGCACGAAAGCCAGGGGAGUGAACGGGAUUAGAUACCCCGGUAAUCCUGGCCGUAAACACUGAGCACUGGAGGGGGGUGGCUUCGGCCUUCCCCCUCGUAGCGAAAGCGUUAAGUGCUCCGCCUGGGGAGUAUGGUCGCAAGGCUGAA
rnacentral:rRNA from 1 species